rnacentral:lncRNA from 1 species
AUUUUGCAGUUACUGGGAGGGGGCUUGCUGUGGCCCCAUCUGGGAGAGUUGAGCCCUGGUCCAGCCCCGCGCAGGAAGGGAGGCUGUAACCGUGCCAGCCUGCUGCAGCUGCAGUGAUGUUUUCCUGUAUGAGACAAACAAAGUCGCCCGGAUCCAAAGCAUCAAUUAUGGCACCAUUAAGUUCUUCCACGUGAUCGUCUUUUCCUAUGUUAGUGUUGAUGGGAACCAUUUUCAGCAUCCUGCUGGUGACUGUCAUCCUUAUGGCAUUUUGUGUCUACAAGCCCAUUCGGCGUCGGUGACAGCCAGACAAGUUCUUCAAUGAGUAUUUGGGAAUAGGAUAAGUUGUGUUGCACACAGGCCAGUGGAGAAGUUGGAACCAAAACUUUCCUACUUGGAAAUGACCUUUGGUCUGGACAGUUGGUAAAUGCUAAAUGAAUUAGAAGAAAACAUGUACUAGACAUUAUUUUUUCCUAACACUGUAGCGCAAAUAAUUGGCCCCUGAGUCCGCUUCUCAGUGUUUCUGACUGUACUUGUUAAAAGUAAGACCUGAAAGCUCCAAAGG